rnacentral:ncRNA from 18 species
AAGGGGCAUCAAGAGGGGUUCGUCCCCACCAACCGCCCACUCCGGGAACGGUGGUUAAUCGAUGCGCCAUAGGCCCUGCUGCGCAGGUAUGGAACAAAAAGGAGAUAU